GGUGACGAGUUAUUGACUGAGUGGCGGACGGGUGAGUAACGCGUGGGUAACCUACCUUGUACAGGGGGACAACAGUUGGAAACGACUGCUAAUACCGCAUAAGCGCACAGCAUCGCAUGAUGCAGUGUGAAAAGUUUUUUCGGUACAAGAUGGACCCGCGUCUGAUUAGCUAGUUGGUGAGGUAACGGCCCACCAAGGCGACGAUCAGUAGCCGACCUGAGAGGGUGACCGGCCACAUUGGGACUGAGACACGGCCCAAACUCCUACGGGAGGCAGCAGUGGGGAAUAUUGCACAAUGGGCGCAAGCCUGAUGCAGCGACGCCGCGUGAGCGAAGAAGUAUUUCGGUAUGUAAAGCUCUAUCAGCAGGGAAGAUAAUGACGGUACCUGACUAAGAAGCACCGGCUAAAUACGUGCCAGCAGCCGCGGUAAUACGUAUGGUGCAAGCGUUAUCCGGAUUUACUGGGUGUAAAGGGAGCGUAGGCGGUUUUACAAGUCUGAUGUGAAAGCCCGGGGCUCAACUCCGGUAUUGCAUUGGAAACUGUAGAACUANAGUGUCGGAGGGGUAAGUGGAAUUCCUAGUGUANCGGUGAAAUGCGUA
rnacentral:rRNA from 1 species